UCUUAUUAGUCUGUUAGAGUCUUUGAAAUAAGAUGUUUCAUAUCCCACAAAAUAAUCUAGAUUUAUGGUUCUACUUAGUCCGGUUUGGUGUCGAAUAAGUUUUAAGUUGAACCAUGUAUCGAAAUUAUUAACUUUCUUUGUUUUCAAAUAUCAUGGUUUGUCAAAGUUGAGAAAUUGAUGUGUUACUACUUUAAUUCAUCUCAAGCUUUUAUAUCUUUAUCAUAAGAAUAUAUGAUUAUGGGGUCAUUACGAAUCCAGUUCGAAUCAACCUAGUCUACAUGUUUAUUCAUCACAAUCAUUUGUACGAGAGCAAAAGUUGACGAUGAAGUCGGAAAGCCCUGCUACCGACCAUUCGUUAUAAUUAAAUUAAUUUACCUUUUGAAGCCAAUUGAAUUGGGUUAGGGAGGUUUAAAACCCAUUAGGUGCAUAUUUGGAUUGG
rnacentral:lncRNA from 1 species